GCAAACACAUUCCAGCCAAUCAGCAGCAGACCCUCCCUCCCAUACCCUCCCACCUCCUGGACAGCAUCCAUUGUGAAGCUGCAUUCUUAGUGAGCUGUCCAGGAGGUGGGAGGGUCUGGGAGGGAGGGUCUGCUGCUGAUUGGCUGGAAUGUGUCUG
rnacentral:miRNA from 1 species